rnacentral:rRNA from 1 species
UACGUAGGGGGCUAGCGUUGUCCGGAAUCAUUGGGCGUAAAGAGCGUGUAGGCGGCCCGGUAAGUCCGCUGUGAAAGUCGGGGGCUCAACCCUCGAAUGCCGGUGGAUACUGUCGGGCUAGAGUGCGGAAGAGGCGAGUGGAAUUCCUGGUGUAGCGGUGAAAUGCGCAGAUAUCAGGAGGAACACCAAUGGCGAAGGCAGC